GUUUAUUCUUCCGACCCUAUUGACAUCUUGAAUAUCAAAUUGAAAAGAUUCAAUACCUACUUCAAGGGAUGGGGAUCAGAUAAAUAUGGCCAUGUCAAGAAAAGGAAGGAGGAGCUCAGGAUAGAGUUGGCCAUGCUAGAAGAAUUGGAAGAAAGUGGUCCCCUGCCCCCUGAGCUAUACAACAUCAAGAUUGAUGUUAGUACUGAGCUGCAUGACCUGUUGGUGAAUGAGGAGAUAUAUUGGCUUCAACAGUCUCAUGAACGCUGGCUCCUAAAAGGAGACCUGAAUACAAACUAUUAUCAUAAAAUUGUCAAUGGUCAUAAGAGGAAGAACACAAUUCACUCCCUAAAAGCUGGGGAUAUGGAGAUCAAGGGUACUGACAAGCUGAUAGCGCAUGCUACAGAAUAUUACAAAAGUUUGUUUGGACCUGAGAUGGGUAAUAUGUUCCACCUUGAUCCUGACACGUGGGUUGAUGAGGAAAAACUC
rnacentral:rRNA from 1 species